rnacentral:tRNA from 1 species
GCGGGUAUCGUAUAGUGGCUUUUACACCUCGUUGCCAACGAGGAAACACGGGUUCGACUCCCGUUACCCGCU